ensembl:lncRNA
UUCCUUGCAGAGCAGCACUCGGAAGUCACCUGCUCCAACUGCUUUCUCCAGCCCCAGCUUGUUUAAUCCUCCUGUUUCCAUAUUAAGCGAGAGGCAGCCUUGUGUGAUCUAGUUGGUGAUGCUUGUGACAGGCUCUUUGUGAGCACCUUGUGACAGCAGGAGGGCAUGUGGGAAGGUGACAUCAGAGUGAGAGCGUAAAUCUUGUGGCUGCCACUCUGGAAUUGCUGAAUGCAAAGAGAAGAUGAAGCUAAUGUGACUACAUGUGACCUGGAAGCACCUUGUUCUUGGGAUUUUUCAAACCUUUUGGCAGCUACUGUGCCCGUGCCAUCCUUUCUUUACCUUCUGCUUCACAUACAGAAAGUGAGAUGGGUUGUGCAAAGGAAUGGGUAAUGUGGUAGCAUGCCAGAUCUCAGCCCUCCUUCCCCUAAUACCAGCAUUCGCAAGGUGGGGAAAGGUUUCCAGUCAGCGAAAUCUGGUGUGGUUGGAGCUGCUCACAAACUCAGCUGUGCUUCUCUGUGCUCGUGAUUAAUUCAGCCUUCAAGUUGAAAAUAAAUAAAUAGGGUUUGGAGAAGACUUCCUGCGUGCCUGAGGUCUCUGACCACACAGAGCGAGCUCCAGCUUCUGGGUGAGCCCCAAACUGUGAGGAUCUGGGCCUUGGUUAACACCUCGCAACAAAGGAAAUGGCUUACCAAACUGCACAGCUUUCUGCACGUAUAUUUUUGGCAGUGUCAAAACCUGCUGCUUUAUUGUUGUCACGCUCCAUAGGAUCUGCAAGUGUUUUGUAACAUAAACAUACUGAAGUUUAUGGUAUUGCCUUGCUGCAAACCUACAUCUAGAGAACUCAGCAGAAAAGCAUUUCCAUAACUUCCUGAUCACUUUCUUAAGAGGUGGACUUUUUCUUUUUACGUAUAGCUGCUUCUAUAUUUGCAGUGCAGUUUGAGAUAAGCCCCUUGAUGAAUGAAGCCACUAAGGGAAACAGUGGGCUGGUGCAAGUGGUUGGGAAUUUCCUGGCAGAAGAACAACAGCAAAACCACAGCGCAAGGAAGUGUGCACCUGGAGCUAUGGGACAGAGAGCCUGUGAGCUCAGUAAGGACUGGGUACUGAAAAGUGCCUUAACCACCAGCUGUUGCUGAGACAGUGUGGUGGGGCUACUGUGGUUGUCAAGAUCAGGAACCAAGUAUGUGGUGGGCAUGCCGUCUUUAAGUGAAAAGGGCUUUCAGCUGGAGAAGGAGCAACUACACACGGCUAAGCCAUGUGAUGUAUUUCUGCAGUGUGCUUGAGGAAUGCCAUUUUGACAGCCUGAUCAGGUUCUGCUCUGGAAAACCAGACCAGGAGCGGUGGCAGCAAUGUGUUUGGGAAGGGGUCUGUGACCCUCUGAGGACGUGAGCAGCAGCCAGCAGCAGGUCUUCUGGGCUGUCAUGGUCGCAGUGAGCUUCUAACCCAAUGAGUCGAGCGCUCUGCGCAGGAAAGCAGUUCCAAGUAAGCAAGUGAAUUUUUCAUUUUGAAAGAUGUGCGUUUUGGAGUGGUACGCUUUUCAAUAUGUUGUUUACUGUAAACUGAUACUAAAUGUGACCUGGAUUUGGAUGCGUUCUUGUUUUGGACUUAAAUGGAUGAGUAUCCAUUUUGCUUUGGAUUAAUCAUUUUUUGCAUGUGUGCCAGUGGCAGCCUUUGGUGCUGGCAGCGGCCGGUGGUCCUCACUCUGGUCGUUGUGACAACUGACUUCAUGUCCUGCAGCUGCAUGGCACUGUUUCUUUUGGCACUUGUACCAGCUCGUUUCUCUGAGUGAGUCUUCCAUUCAGAAUCGCUGCUUGCUAGCAAAUGUAGAAUGAUUCAGUCCAUUUUCUGUUAGCUUAGUUAUUGUUUGUGCCAGCCUGGCUAUCUCCAUUCAAGAAAACAGUCCAACUCCAAUACUGAAUUGUAAGAUCUUAGAAGUCAACUGAAAGAUGGGUUUGGUCGGUCCCUUUAUCCUUCCAGUUGAGGUUAACUAAGAACAAAACUUCAGAGGAUGUAGUUUGUGUAUAAAUACCACAAAGAGACUACUUAUAAGGCAGUCUUUGCCCUUGUGGUUGUUGAAAUCAGAGUGAUCUGUAGAGUGGAAGAGACGGAUGGGUGGAAUGCCUGAUUUCUGUUCCCAUUUCUGACUUCAGCAUAACUAAAUUGGCCUGCACAGAGAAAAAUAAACUGG